rnacentral:rRNA from 1 species
AACGAACGCUGGCGGCAGGCCUAACACAUGCAAGUCGAACGCCCGUAGCAAUACGGGAGUGGCAGACGGGUGAGUAACGCGUGGGAACGUGCCCUUCGGUUCGGAAUAACUCAGGGAAACUUGAGCUAAUACCGGAUACGUCCGUAAGGAGAAAGAUUUAUCGCCGAAGGAUCGGCCCGCGUCGGAUUAGCUAGUUGGUGAGGUAACGGCCCACCAAGGCGACGAUCCGUAGCUGGUCUGAGAGGANGAUCAGCCACACUGGGACUGAGACACGG